GAAACAGACAUGAACUCUGGAAAAGCAAUGUCUGGACAAUAAUCAGGACACAUCAUGACCUGAAAUUUUAUUUAGAGAGUUCACAAUUCGUUUUUCGGGUUAUUUGUUCCACGCUUCUUUGACAGAGCUUGAGGGAAACCUGUAAUGCAAAGUAGUAGAGACAGGUACAGAUAUUUAAGAAAUUUGGUUCUCAUGAGGGAUCUUUCCAAGGAUCUGUCGAAGUUUUUGCAGACGCCCCUUCUGCUGCCAUUUAGGAUCUUUGGAAAUAUCAAAGUUCGUUUGUUUGGGGAAGAAAUGUUAGGCGGUGUUCGAUCGUAUUUAAUCCAGGUGGGAGAAAUGUGAGAAGGUGCAGAGGCAAGCCUUACUGAUCGGAGUGUCAGUCAGCACGGGGUUUCUGAGCAAUAUAACUGCCCACUCAAGCUAAACAGGGCAUCCGUUCUUCUGCCUUGACAUUACAUAAUUUCCCCAGGUAAUCUCAUUCCAUCUGUUCUACUUUUUGUACUUGUGGGAAUUAACUCCAGACUCACGACACCAGACGCAUGCACCCAACUUCAGCAACCCGAGUCACCUUGUGUCAUACAGUGAACUCUUAGAGCUGCCCUUCCUUCUCUUCUGUCUACUCCCUUGUCUCCUGGAGCAAGGGUCUGAAGAUCCUUGCUCCUCUAAGUGCGGUCCAUGACCCGCAGCAUCAGUGUCACCCGGCUUGUUAGAAAUGCAGAGGCUCCAGCCCCAGUCCAGACCUACUGAAUUUGAAUCUGCAUUUUAACAAGCUCUCUAGGUAAUUCUAUGCACAUUAAAGUUUGAGACAUGCCGCCUUAGACUUUGCUGUCUCUCACCACCUCACAUCCAGGCAAUCAAUUAGUAAUGUCAAAAGGUUGUCUCUCCUCAGUAAUCUCAAUAAUCAGGAUAGUGGGUUGGGAUUGUAUCUGUUGAAAAGCACACCGUGGAGGACUAAAGCUCUCCAGUGCACUGCAGCCUCCAGCACUCCCUGCUACCUCCUUGCCUCUUUCAAUCAUUUACCUGCCUGCCCCUGAAGACAUCUGUUCCCAAGCAUCCUGCCCUGGCCACCCUCACUUCACUGCACCAGUCCCGAGCUUCAUUUUCUUUGGACUAAGUGACUGCAAGGGCCUCUGAACUGGCCUCCAGCGUCGUUCUGAUCUGCUCACCCUCAGAUCCACCUGCCUAUAAAUCCAGAUUCCACACCUGCUGAAAUUCCUUGGUGGCUUCUCAUCACUCACUGCUCUUUUCUAGAAGUUACUCCCUGAGAACACCUGGCUGAUUCUGUUCUCUGUUUUGUACCUCCCCCCCGCCCCCCGCCUCCACUUCCCUGAACUCUCCCUUCCUGCUCAGCCCUUGGACAUCACUGUAGUGUUACCUACCCUGUCUGCUCUUGACCCCCUCCCAGUCCUGUCCUCUACUACCAAAGGAGCACCACCCAGAGGAAAGCUGUGUGGCUGUGCUCUCCCACAGGGGAAUGUGAUGCCCUUGGGAGCAGGGGCUGUAUUUUUAUUUGUACCUGAUAUCGUGUGGCUGAGUGCAAGCUCUGAUAAUUAUAGAGAGUGAUCAAUAGAUGUUUCUUAACUUGAAUUUGUCACACAGACUAGGAAAUUUGGUUUGUUUUCCUGGAGUUAUUCACAUAGCUAAGUCUUCCCCCCACCCCUUUCUGGAACUCGGGUAUGCAUAAUUAGAUCAAUCAUAGUUCUUGGUUUAUGGCAGAUUAUCAUUGGUCCAUGCUCGCCUCCCUUUAUUUAUUUAAUAGUAAAUUAAUAUGCACUCCCGACACCUCUUCCUCCCCAACAUGAGAACCAAUACCUUAUUGUUCAUCUUUAUUUGGUUUUGUAUCUCUCCUUUGUAUCAUCCCCCACUUCCCUGCCACCUCCCCUGCCCACCCUAUCCUUGACAACUUAUUCUUGAAUUCCCUUGACCAUUUAUUCUGAGCCAGGCAUGCUGAUGAGCAAGUCCCUGAUUAACUCACGGAAUCCUCCAAACAACUCCGUGAAGUAAGCAAUCCAAUACAAUUCUCUCUUUUUUCUAUUUUAUACUAUUUGAGGGCAGUGGUUACUAUCAUCUUGAUUAGGAAUGGUAUCACAUGGUAUCCUCACCUUGUUGCUGUUUUUUUACUUUUUUAAAAUCGAAAUUGGCUCACAGUAUUUCUCCAGUAGGCAUGGGGUUGAUUUUUGGUUUUAAGUGUAUGUUCAUUAGUACCCUUAGAUACUUGCUUCACUGCAUCACUGUUUUCCUUUAAUAAGGUUUAUAUUUGGAAAGGCUGAUGUUUAUGGCCUUCUUGCCAUCUACUAAGCUAAAUCUGUUAUGAUACGGAUUCUCCCCUGUUACUAUGAGAAAUCACGAUGUUUUUCCUUCUGUAAAAAUCCUAUUGAGUUUCUAGUUCUUUGUUUAAAUUGAAUAUGGCUCAUUCUUCUCUCUCUCAAUCUUUGGGAUCAAAAUAAUGUUUUCUCUUAAGAUAAACAUUUCAGUUUUAUCUAUAUUUUAUAAUUUGUUGUAAGUAGAGUGAUUAUAUGAAUAUAUUUAUGAAUUAAAUGUAGAACAGGUUCUGCUGAAGUGUACUAGUGUAAUACUAGGACUGACCAUUUGAAAUUUGAACUUUCAAGAUCAUACUGUAGAGUCACUUUAAUUAUAAGAAUGAUUUUUUGAAAGAUUGUCAGAUUUUUCCAGUUCCUUCACUUGACUCUUUCUUGGGGAAUGGAAUUUUGUUACAUUUGGAAAUUUCCUCUUUUUUAAUAUAGAUUUUCUUUCCAUUUAUUGAAUUUAUUGAUGUAUUUCCUACUCACAUACUUUAUAGUUUUGUCCAUUCUUCUUAGCUUAAAAAUCUAUUAACUUUAGGUGUCAAUCAUUCAUUUUCAAAAGAAUCAUCUACUGGUUUUGGUUGUCAAUUUCAUUGCAUUUUCCUUCUCUAUAUUGUUUGUUUCUUUAUCGAGUUUGCCUUUUCUAAUUUUAUUUUGGCUUGUUAAUAAUUUGUUCCCUCAGUUCUUCAUCAAGAGGCUUGGUUUAUUAUGCUUUUCUUUUUUCUUUUCAUUUUGUCACCAAUAUAAUCACAGUCGUAGAGCAACGAAUUCUCUGAAUUCUCUUUCCUUCUGCUUCGCAGCUUUCCAGCAUUUUGUUAUCUUAUUUACCAAACAUAUUUUAUUGUGUUCUGAAUUCCUUCCCAGGUUCAGCCUUUGAGAUACUUUGGUUUUCAGUUUGCAUAUACUGGAACAUUAUUCAAGAUUGAUUUUUUAUUUGUUUGUUUGUUUUUGUGGUACGCGGGCCUCUCACUGUUGUGGCCUCUCCCGUUGCGGAGCCAGGCUCCGGAUACGCAGGCACAGCGGCCAUGGCUCACGGGCCCAGCCACUCCGCGGCAUGUGGGAUCUUCCCGGACCAGGGCAUGAACCUGUUUUGUCAUAAUGUAGGCCAAAUUUUUGACUUACUGCAUGAUCCAUUUUUGUAAGUCAUUUGGUUAGAACUGGAAAUCUAGUGUGUUUCCUUUUUUUUUUUUUUUUUUUUCCAUUUACUCCUAUAUGGCAGUUAGGUUAUUCCAGGCAAAUUUCAUUGUCUGCUUAAGCUGUCCUGUUCUGGCAGGGGCCUUUCAAGUCUUACUCUUGUAGUUCUCUCUGGCCACGUCAUCCCAGCUUUCCCUCUUUUGUUUACAUUGCUGCUAGCUUUUCAUUUAUAUUUACUUAUUUGCUGGCUAGACUAGAACACUUAGAUUUGCUGGCUAGACUAGAACAAAUAGAUUUGCUUUAAUGUACCUUGAGGCUCUUUGUCUAAUUCCCUAAUAGCUAGCGUGUUUGGAGCGCCCACUACCUACUAUGGUAGUUGCUUUUACAUACUUUCUCUCGUUUACUCUUCACAGUAUCCCUGCAAGUUAGGUGGCAUUAUUCUCAUUUGACAGAGGAAGAAGCUGAAGCAUUGAGAUGCUGGACACAGUUCCCCAAGUCACAUGACUCGUAGGAGAAUGACCUAGCAGACAGGGCUGUCUCCUUGCUGGAGCUGGCUCUGAAGCAUGGCCUUCCUGUGACAGUGACAGUGACAGUGGGUUCUGUACACACUGGGUACACCUGGGAAUGUCCCCUGAUUUUUAGUCUGUGUGCAUUUUUUGGAUAGGUAAUCAGUUACACUAAAAAAAAAUAAUUCAAUGGAACUCUAAAAAAAUAGGAAGUUUGUUCUAUUUAUGUUUUUUUUUACAUUUGAGAUAUUUCACAAGAUAAGCUACCAGAUGUAAUUGGGAUGUAAUUUGUGCUGUUCUCCACUAUCCUGAUUGUUUUUGCAUUUUCUUGCUUUCACGUUUCUGGGAUGAACUUAAACUCUGAUUUUCUGUGGAACUAAAUUGGAAGAUAAUGAUAUGUGCUUAUUCUGUAUAGGCAGCUCUGAACUUUGCUAUAUGUGAUUUGUGUACCAUUGGUAGUGUAAUUAACCCUUCUCAACAAUCUCUUUAUUCAGGAUUCAGUGUUCUUCAGAUUUCUUAACUCUGAUGUUAAUAGAUCAGCAGUGACUCUAGGAAAAAGCUGCUCACGUUGGUGCUACUAUGGCCUCAUCUGUUCGACACUUCGCCCCUCACUCUUCUGUCUCCCCCAGACUAGCUCCUUGGGGAGUUAGUAAGGGCUGCUCUGACAGUGGUGUCCCCUCACUCACCCCAUCUUUCCUUCCCACAUGUGUGGCUCAGGUAUGAAGCCAGGAAGAAUUGUCCUUAGGUCUCCUGUCUCUGAUCCCCUACUUCUGCUCUAAAUACCCAGCACAUCGGAUAUUUGAAAAAUAGAGACUGGCUCACAAAAUCAUAAGCAGGGGGCACUUGGGAGAUCGACCAACUUGUCUCAGGCCUCUGUAGCUGUUUCCCACCUUAAACACUAGUCAACAUUGCCACACACUACUGAGCUUGAAGGAGGCUGUACUUGAUGGAGCAAUAAUCUGGAAUAUUACUGCAUGGUUUUUUUUGGAUUCUAGAAUCCUUUCCCCUCACAGUUCAAAAGCGUAUCUGUUCUAGUGUCAGGUUUGUGUUUCAGCAUGCUUUUUGAAUAGCAUUACAGGCAAUAAGGAAAUGCUUUUAUUUCCAUUUUUUCAUUAGCAUUUGUAGUAAAAUUGUUUAAUUCUUGUUAUUUUAUAUUAGCGACUUCCAUCUUGGCCUCUUUUCUAGAACUGAUGUGGCGUUUAGCAUUUUCAGUAAGUCAUAUUCCAUCAUUAUAGUAACAGACUCCCUUGAUCUUCUGAAAACAAUCGACUAAUGUUAUAAACAAUUAUAACAUUUUGCUAACAUUAAAUUAUUAGGGGGAGGGUCAUGAGUCUCCUGCAUAAGCUCUUCCUACCCUAUUGCUUUUGUUGUGACCUGCUCAGGUGUUGGUCUUAUUGACAAAUUGUUUCAGAUCAUUUAGGUCAUGAAAUACUUUCUUCUGUCUUCAAACAAACUGAGGGUUUUGCCUCAGUUCUGGGCCUGGGUGAUAAUUUCCUUUGUGCAUAUUUUCUUUCAGGCUCUUCUUUCUCUUUCCCUAAAUCAGAAGGAUUCUUUUCUUUGCAUCUUAAAUGUUAUCUCAUCUUCUUUCUUGGCAGGUACUACAGAGUAUCCUGUUUUUUGUUUUUUUAAUGCAGUUUAAAAACUUGACCAUUGGGUUAUGGUUUUGUUGUUUUUGUUUACUUGGGUGGCUUUAACUUGAAGAUUGCUUCUUAAUAAUUUAUGUCAGUAGUCUCCUUCAAUUCUUAGAAAUUAAAAAAAUUACUUCUGUGAUUUUGGUUCGUACUGUUCAGUUUCUCAAACCUUUCUGCUCUCCAUGGUUUUCUUGGCCCAUGAAUUUAUCUUGCACUGUUAACAUCCAUUUGUGCACAUUGUACUGGUAUAUUUUUAAAUCAGUUAAUUCUCUGGAAUGGGAUAUGGUUUUGAUUUUUGUCAGCUCGUUUAUACCUUUAGUUUCCUUCUGAAGAAAUAGUUCAUAAACUUUUUGGAAUAAUGGACUCUUUUCUGGGCUUGAACACAACUACUGAUGGUCCUACAGAAAAACUGUGGACCCCUUCCCUUGCCCAGAAAAAGGAGGAUACAUAAUUUCAGAGCUUCGCAGAUCCCAAGUUUCUGUAUGAUUCUCCCCUCCUUUUUAAAAACUCCAUGGAGAACAUGCUUGUAUUAAAAACAAGCCCUAAACUAGUUUUUAAUAAUGACAUUAAGUAUUAUGUUCUUCCUCUAUAAAUAGACAUUUACCUUGGGGAAAUGUCAGUGGCUCAUUUGGUAUUUACACGUUUUUCAUUUUAUUAUUCUAAGUAGCCUGUAUCCUCCUCCUUCUCACCCUCAUAGAAGUGGACAUUGCGGAGGAAGAGGCAGGAGCCUCUGACACUCAGGCCCAGGGGAUGAGGCCAGUGACCCAGGAGACAAGAGUGUCAUGACAUGUGAACAUUCUUAGGUGAUGAUUUGUAUGGUUUUUAAUAAUUUAUUUUUAAAAAGUCCCCUCAGCUUUAUUGAAAUAUAAUUGACAUAUGACAUUAUGCACAUGUAUUUUAAAUAUCAAGCACCACAAAUUCGCUUUAGCAAACAUGUAAUGCUCAAGUCUCUGCCAGGUGUCAGACAGGCCUCCUGUUUCAUCUACAUGUGGCUUGAGUGGGACCUCUUACUGUCAGAUCUCUCUGUGCAUUUCUUUCAUACAAAAGUGUUUUAGGGCUUCCCUGGUGGCGCAGUGGUUGAGAGUCCGCCUGCCGAUGCGGGGGACACGGGUUCGUGCCCCGGUCCGGGAAGAUCCCCCAUGCCGCGGAGCGGCUGGGCCCGUGAGCCAUGGCCGCUGGGCCUGCGCGUCCGAAGCCUGUGCUCCGCAAAGGGAGAGGCCACAACAGUGAGAGGCCCGCGUACCGC
rnacentral:lncRNA from 1 species